GAUGAACGCUGGCGGCGUGCCUAAUACAUGCAAGUCGAGCGAAUGGAUUAAGAGCUUGCUCUUAUGAAGUUAGCGGCGGACGGGUGAGUAACACGUGGGUAACCUGCCCAUAAGACUGGGAUAACUCCGGGAAACCGGGGCUAAUACCGGAUAACAUUUUGAACCGCAUGGUUCGAAAUUGAAAGGCGGCUUCGGCUGUCACUUAUGGAUGGACCCGCGUCGCAUUAGCUAGUUGGUGAGGUAACGGCUCACCAAGGCAACGAUGCGUAGCCGACCUGAGAGGGUGAUCGGCCACACUGGGACUGAGACACGGCCCAGACUCCUACGGGAAGCAGCAGUAGGGAAUCUUCCGCAAUGGACGAAAGUCUGACGGAGCAACGCCGCGUGAGUGAUGAAGGCUUUCGGGUCGUAAAACUCUGUUGUAGGGAAGAACAAGUGCUAGUUGAAUAAGCUGACACCUUGACGGUACCUAACCAGAAAGCCACGGCUAACUACGUGCCAGCCGCCGCCGUAA
rnacentral:rRNA from 1 species